UACAGAGGGGGCAAGCGUUGUUCGGAAUUAUUGGGCGUAAAGCGCGCGCAGGCGGCUUCUUAAGUCUGAUGUGAAAGCCCACGGCUCAACCGUGGAGGGUCAUUGGAAACUGGGGAGCUUGAGUGCAGAAGAGGAGAGUGGAAUUCCAUGUGUAGCGGUGAAAUGCGUAGAUAUAUGGAGGAACACCAGUGGCGAAGGCGGCUCUCUGGUCUGUAACUGACGCUGAGGCGCGAAAGCAUGGGGAGCGAACAGG
rnacentral:rRNA from 1 species